rnacentral:rRNA from 1 species
AGCAGCCGCGGUAAUUCCAGCUCCAAUAGCGUAUAUUAAAGUUGUUGCAGUUAAAAAGCUCGUAGUUGAAUUUCGGGAUCAAUAUAUUGGUCAUGCUUAGGUAUGUACUGGUAUUAUUGAUUUCUCCCUUCUGAAGAACCAUAAUGUCGUUAAUUUGAUGUCAUGGGGAAUCAGGACUGUUACUUUGAAAAAUUAGAGUGUUUAAAGCAGGCUUUCGCUUGAAUACAUUAGCAUGGAAUAAUGAAAUAGGACGUUUGAUUCUAUUUUGUUGGUUUCUAGGAUCGACGUAAUGAUUAAUAGGGAUAGUUGGGGGCAUUAGUAUUCAAUUGUCAGAGGUGAAAUUCUUGGAUUUAUUGAAGACUAACUACUGCGAAAGCAUUUGCCAAGGAUGUUUUCAUUAAUCAAGGACGAAAGUUAGGGGAUCGAAGACGAUCAGAUACCGUCGUAGUCUUAACCAUAAACUAUGCCGACUAGGGAUCGGAUGAUGUUAAUUUUUAAUGACUCAUUAC